AGGGGGUGUACUGGGUGUGGAGUGUGUGCGGAUAGGAAUUCAUAUCGGGCCUAAGGCCCAAUUGCUCUGCGAAAGGAUAGAAAAAACACGCGAAGACAUGCCACCGAUGAAACGAAUCUCAGAAGUACUUACCACGUUCGUCGGAUUCAAUGGCCGAUGCGAGCAAUGGAAGGAUUCGUCGUUGCUACGUUGUGACUACGUCCGAUCCUCGGUUCGUAUGGUGGAUUGUUCGUUAAUCCGCUCGCCGUAGAUAAUGAUGAAGAAAGAACUGUCGUCGACACACGGUAGCCUGGCUACGUCGUCGACACACGGUAGCCUGGCUACGUCGCCGACAAUAGAGACGAGUCGACGGAGAUUCCAAACGCCUCCGUAAAGCCUUGAAUGCAACUACGUGCGAUCCAAAGUCCGGCGAGAUCGAAGCGACUUCGACCUAAGUUGCAGGAUUUCGAUUGCUACACACUUUGAAGCUCCUCUUUCUCUUCUACUCUGGUCCGUUUCUCUACUAAAAGUGGCGAUGCUAGGCACGUGUAUCAGGCGGAGCGAGGUUCGGCUUACCGGUAGCAACACGAUUCGGACCAUAGAGAUUUCGCGGCGUAAGCGACGGUGGUUCAGUGAAGAUUCUAGAAGAAGUUUGUUACGGUUGCGAUUAUGGAGGAUUGAAGAAGAAGUUUGUUACGGUUGGAGUUAUGGUGCGCUUCUGUUUCUGUUAUUCUGCUAUGGUGGCGGCGGCGACUAAAGUAGUUUUAUCGGUGGUUUUGGAGGUUUGAAGCGGUUGAGGGUUGAGAGAGUUUGUUACAGUGGUGGAAGAGAAUAAUGUGGAAGAUUCAAGAAGAAUGGAAGAGUUUGUUAGAAAUUGGAGAGAGAGCGAGCAGAAGAAGCUUCGAAAGCCUUCGCUUCAAUUUAUAGAGUUAUAGUUGUAAUCAGUUUGAACUUGGAGCUUCAGCUUGUGUUGCCGUUUGCCCAUAUGUUGCUGUCGUUGUGAAGCGCUUAUUGUAGUUAUGCGGUAGUUGUUAUGGCUUGUGCAGUAGCUUCUCGUUGCGGCUGAAAUUAUGCAGCUUGUUUUUGUUCGCGCCUGUGUGUUAGCUGCACUUUGAAUUUGGCUUUGGCGUUUUGGUGCGUUUGUAUCAAUUGGUCAUGAAUUGGAAAAUGGAUCUAUUGGAUAAUGAUUUUGGAAUUGGAUUCUUUUGGUUAUGAGUUAA